UGGGGAAGGGAGGACAUUUUCUUCACUGGACGGGGAGAUUCACCUGUCUCACGUAUCCAUGGGAGGACAGGCACCUAGUUACACACAGCUGUUGGAGACAGGUUUUUGGUGAGUUCAUUGAAGACAAACCUGAUCAGCUACCCUACAGAACAAGAGAAAUGGUGAUAAUCAAACUGCUGCCUUCAGCUGGAAAAGGCAUUGCAAAUGACACAAAGGUAUUAGUCUGUGAAUGUGCUCAAGGACUGGCCUUCCCUUUGGCUUGCAGGGCUCCAAAACUCAGUUGGAAAAGUUAAUGGUGAGGAAAUAACAAACAGCUGAACACUUUUGAAGCCUCCUGGAUGAAAACAACUUCUGUUUCCUCUUGCCUUCACUUCUUCCCACCAGAUCUAG